rnacentral:rRNA from 1 species
UGGUGGAGUGAUUUGUCUGGUUAAUUCCGAUAACGAACGAGACUUUGAUCUGCUAAAUAGUUACUACAGGUAUCCUGUAGCUAGCUUCUUAGAGAGACUGCUGUAGUUUAUACAGCGGAAGUUCAAAGCAAUAACA